rnacentral:rRNA from 1 species
AUCAUUACUGAAUUGUCAACAAGAGUUGUUGCUGGUCCUCAAACGGGGGCAUGUGCACACUCUGUUCACACAUCCACUCACACCUGUGCACCCUCUGUGGUUCUAUGGUCAAGGGGGCCUGUCCCUCCCACCAUGGUUCUGCGUCUUUACUACACACACUGUAACAAAGUCUCAUGGAAUGUGUGCCGCGUUUAACGCAAUACAAUACAACUUUCAGCAACGGAUCUCUUGGCUCUCGCAUCGAUGAAGAACGCAGCGAAAUGCGAUAAGUAAUGUGAAUUGCAGAAUUCAGUGAAUCAUCGAAUCUUUGAACGCACCUUGCGCCCUUUGGCCAUUCCGAAGGGCAUGCCUGUUUGAGUAUCAUGAACACCUCAACUCUUCAUGGUUUUCCAUGAUGAGCUUGGACUUUGGGGGUCUUGCUGGCCUGCGGUCAGCUCCUCUCAAAUGAAUCAGCUUGCCAGUUUUUGGUGGGCAUCACAGGUGUGAUAACUAUCUACGCUUGUGGUUUUCCACUAGGGUAACCUUCAGCAGUGGAGGUUCACUGGAGCUUACAAAUGUCUCUCCUCUGUGAGGACAGCCCUUUGAAUGUUUGAUCUCAAAUCAGGUAGGACUACCCGCUGAACUUAAGCAUAUCAAUAAGCCGGAGGAA